AUGGAACCAGAGACACCGACACUGUCCAGCCCCUGUCUUGAUCUUCAUUCUUCGCCAGUGGAACUUCAUGAAAAUACAGAGUUUUGUGAGGAAGGUAUAACAUACACAGCAGUCAAAGUUCAAAACUCUUCAAAUACUCAGAAGAGAAAAAUAACUAGGAUUUCGAAGUCAAAAGGCUCUCCAUGGUGCGUUGCUGCAGUGGUAUUUGCCCUCCUUUAUCUAAUUUUCCUCGCACUAGCUGCAAUUAUGACAGCUAAGGUUCAUUGUCUAGAAGAGACUUUAAAGGAGUUGAAUAUAUCAGAUACAACUACAUAUUGCAAAUUGAAGUAGCAAAAAAAGGUAACUGGUCGUUCUCUGAAGAAAAUUUGUAUUUUAUUUCUGCUGAAAAUAAAAUUUUGUCAGCAAGAAAAUUGUUCUGAAGC
rnacentral:lncRNA from 1 species